UUGGAGAGUUUGAUUCUGGCUCAGGACGAACGCUGGCGGCGUGCUUAACACAUGCAAGUCGAACGGAAAGGCCCUUCGGGGUGCUCGAGUGGCGAACGGGUGAGUAACACGUGGGUGAUCUGCCCUGCACUUUGGGAUAAGCCUGGGAAACUGGGUCUAAUACCGAAUACACCCUGCUGGUUGCAUGACCUGGUGGGGGAAAGCUUUUGCGGUGUGGGAUGGGCCCGCGGCCUAUCAGCUUGUUGGUGAGGUUACGGCUCACCAAGGCGACGACGGGUAGCCGGCCUGAGAGGGUGAUCGGCCACACUGGGACUGAGAUACGGCCCAGACUCCUACGGGAGGCAGCAGUGGGGAAUAUUGCACAAUGGGCGCAAGCCUGAUGCAGCGACGCCGCGUGGGGGAUGACGGCCUUCGGGUUGUAAACCUCUUUCAGUAGGGACGAAGCGUGAGUGACGGUACCUACAGAAGAAGGACCGGCCAACUACGUGCCAGCAGCCGCGGUAAUACGUAGGGUCCGAGCGUUGUCCGGAAUUACUGGGCGUAAAGAGCUCGUAGGUGGUUUGUCGCGUUGUUCGUGAAAACCGGGGGCUUAACCCUCGGCGUGCGGGCGAUACGGGCAGACUUGAGUACUGCAGGGGAGACUGGAAUUCCCGGUGGAAUGUCUCUGGGGUGACGCUGGGACUGCGUGGGGAGCGAACAGGAUUAGAUACCCUGGUAGUCCACGCCGUAAACGGUGGGUACUAGGUGUGGGUUUCCUUCCUUGGGAUCCGUGCCGUAGCUAACGCAUUAACCCCGCCUGGGAGUACGGCCGCAAGGCUAAAACUCAAAGAAAUUGACGGGGCCCGCACAAGCGGCGGAGCAUGUGGAUUAAUUCGAUGCAACGCGAAGAAACCUGGGUUUGACAUGCGCAGGACGCCGGUAGAGAUAUCGGUUCCCUUGUGGCCUGUGUGCAGGUGGUGCAUGGCUGUCGUCAGCUCGUGUCGUGAGAUGUUGGGUUAAGUCCCGCAACGAGCGCAACCCUUGUCUCAUGUUGCCAGCACGUGAUGGUGGGGACUCGUGAGAGACUGCCGGGGUCAACUCGGAGGAAGGUGGGGAUGACGUCAAGUCAUCAUGCCCCUUAUGUCCAGGGCUUCACACAUGCUACAAUGGCCGGUACAAAGGGCUGCGAUGCCGUGAGGUGGAGCGAAUCCUUUCAAAGCCGGUCUCAGUUCGGAUCGGGGUCUGCAACUCGACCCCGUGAAGUCGGAGUCGCUAGUAAUCGCAGAUCAGCAACGCUGCGGUGAAUACGUUCCCGGGCCUUGUACACACCGCCCGUCACGUCAUGAAAGUCGGUAACACCCGAAGCCGGUGGCCUAACCCUGUGUGGGAGGGAGCCGUCGAAGGUGGGAUCGGCGAUUGGGACGAAGUCGUAACAAGGUAGCCGUACCGGAAGGUGCGGCUGGAUCACCUCCUUU
rnacentral:rRNA from 1 species